rnacentral:rRNA from 1 species
AGCGAACGCUGGCGGCAGGCUUAACACAUGCGAGUCGAGCGGGCAUAGCAAUAUGUCAGCGGCAGACGGGUGAGUAACGCGUGGGAACGUACCUUUGGUUCGGAACAACUGAGGGAAACUUCAGCUAAUACCGGAUAAGCCCUUACGGGGAAAGAUUUAUCGCCGAAAGAUCGGCCCGCGUCUGAUUAGCUAGUCGGUGAGGUAAUGGCUCACCAAGGCGACGAUCAGUAGCUGGUCUGAGAGGAUGAUCAGCCACAUUGGGACUGAGACACGGCCCAAACUCCUACGGGAGGCAGCAGUGGGGAAUAUUGGACAAUGGGCGCAAGCCUGAUCCAGCCAUGCCGCGUGAGUGAUGAAGGCCCUAGGGUUGUAAAGCUCUUUUGUGCGGGAAGAUAAUGACGGUACCGCAAGAAUAAGCCCCGGCUAACUUCGUG